CCUACGGGUGGCAGCAGUGGGGAAUCUUCCGCAAUGGGCGAAAGCCUGACGGAGCAACGCCGCGUGCUCGAAUGAAGGCCUUCGGGUUGUAAAGAUCUGUUGACAGGGACGAAUAAGCAAUGCGAAUAGUUUUGUGUAUGACGGUACCUGUUUAGAAAGCUCCGGCUAACUACGUGCCAGCAGCCGCGGUAAUACGGAGGGAGCAAGCGUUGUCCGGAAUUACUGGGCGUAAAGGGCGCGUAGGUGGGUGCUUAAGUCAGGUGUGAAAACUCCGGGCUCAACCUGGAGACUGCACUUGCAACUGGUUGUCUGGAGGGCAGGUGAGGAAAGUGGAAUGCCUAGUGUAGCGGUGAAAUGCGUAGAUAUUAGGAGGAACACCAAUGGCGAAGGCGACUUUCUGAACUAUACCUGACGCUGAGGCGCGAAAGCGUGGGUAGCGAACGGGAUUAGAUACCCGUGUAGUC
rnacentral:rRNA from 1 species